rnacentral:lncRNA from 1 species
CAAUAUUGUCAGUACCCACUGGAGGGGCCCUGGGCAAGUUGCUUUUCUUUUUAAAUUACAGGAAAAUGGGAAGGGCUGUUGUUGAAACUACAAUCAGUUGAGAGGUUGGAAGAGCCUAGUGAUUCCAAAUGCAGAAUCAAAAGGCCAAAUUGGUAUUUGAUGCAACAAGGAAAUGUGUUGAAUACAUCAUCAAUCGGGCUCCGCAAAGGAAGGGUCAUGGGGUGACUGGCACAGUUACAGGAUGUGGGCAGCAGGCCAAUCAGAGAGUGUGUGGCGGAGGAGGUGAGUCGAUGGCCAUGAAAUUAUGGACGCUUAGGAAUGGCUGGAGGCAAAGGACAGGCUGACAAUCUCCUCAACCAGACAUGUGCAAGACUUCUGUCUUCAACCAUCUUCAACUGCUUAUUAUUACGAGGGAAACUUCUUAGCUCCAAGGCACCCAGUACCAAGAAGUAAACCCAGAAGCUUGGAACCAGGGCUCAGGAACAAGAGCCACUUGAUUUAGCAGAUUGGAUUGGAAAUUUAUCAGGCUGCCUAGAGCUCCAGCAAGGAAAGAGAUGUCAAGGUGCCCACCAAAGGAAAUUAGACUUGUUAUUUUUUUGACUCCCUGAUGUGGCGGUUCAAUAUUCUCAAAAGCGUCAAGAGGACAAGGGUUUCCUAGAAACCUUUCCAGAGUGAAUAUGCUAGGGUGAGGAAAUGGCCCCAAACUGCCUUAACUGGGCAUUGAUUCUAAAGAAUCAAUGUGCAUUUAAUUCUACAAUAAAAUGGCAGGGAACCACCCAGCUCUCCCAAGAGCUCAUAGCUCAGAGAAAAUCUCUAAGGAAGUCACAAAAGUUUGCAGACAAUAUUUGUGCCAGAACUGAACCAUGCAGCACUAAAAACCCUCAAUCCCUGUGAACAGGCCUGGCUAAGGAUUUCUUUUUAAAAGGAGUCCCAUUCAGUGGUAACUACAGAGAGAACUAUCUGUCUUAUUUAUCUAACAAAGUAGAUCAGGCAGAAAUGAAGUUGCGGUCAUUUUACAAGGUUUUUAGAUUAUUAAUCUGAAUCAUCAAUGAAAGCUUUCAUUAAAUUGCACCCUAGAAAUUGAUUUGCAAUGGGUCAUUCCAAUGUGCUAUGCAAAGUUGCUGUGGAAAAUUAGUCAUCCUAGACUCCCUAAAGAAUAGAGACAUGACAUCCGGGCAUCUGUUAAGUUUGCUCAAAAACAUAUGCGAGCCCUUUUUUAAAGAACCAUAAUUACAUCCUGCUGAAACCUCCAAGGACCUUGCUAACUGCCUUUGUAUUACAACAUCCAUUUCCCACUUAGGAGGCUCUGCUCUGCUAUUUAGAAGUGUGUUUCAAUCUGCUAGCCCAUCUAGCACACUUUCCCAUCUACAGUCUGCAAAUGGUCAAGUCCUUCCAUGCUCCAAGAAGACCAACUUGGAGGAAGCAGGAGUUGUACAGUGGUGAGUGUAUGUGUCCUUUGUUAAACUAUGACCAGGAAUUUGGAGCUGAAAGGGACUUUAGCAAUGAUUCAGACCAAGCCUCUCACUUUCAGAUGGUGCCACUGAAAAUCAGAGAGGGAAGUGGUUUGUCCAAGGCUGCAUAGCUAAAAUCUGAAACAAUAUAUAGUGUCGUGGUUAAGAGUACGGGCUCUGGGGUCACAGCCCUAGUCCGUGCUCUCUCGCUUAUGUGCUGUGUGACUGUGUGGAAGCACUUCACUUCCCUGAGUCACAGCUCCUUUAUUUAUAAAAUGUAAGCUGAAGCAACACCUGAGUGCAAUGAGUGCCCAGUGAACAUUAGCUGCUGAUAUCCUGUUCAUCUUCCCAAACGUAACCUCGUGUAGUCUCUGAAACACCCUAUGAGGGAGAAGGGGCUGAGAUCACUCACCUCAUAACACAGCUUAAAAAAUGACUCUUCCAAAGCCACACAGACCCCCCACUCCAGUUUCUCAUGAUCCUGCUGCUGUGGACAGGAGGGAGCUCGGGCCCCAUUCCCCUCUCAUCAGCGUUCUUCAUUUCUCUAGAGAUGAGCAAGGAAACUGGCUUAUUUGUUUCCACACGGGAGAAAAUCAGUGUGGCUCCCUUAUUCAGUCCCCUGCUGGGACCCUGCCCUGGGGGAGGGAAGAGCAGUGGCACCCUGAGCCUGCUAGGGACAUUGGGGGCACAUGUGUCUGGGCAGGCAACAUAUUACUUCAGGACCCUACAGCAUAUUUUAAAGCUGACAUCAGAGUACUUGUCAAUGCUCCAUCCGCCUGCCCUCCUGACCCCCAAAUCUGGCCUUUGGGAAAAUCUAAUUGCCUGCCCUGAGUGACACGGGAGCUGUGUGAGUGAUAAAGUUGUAGACAGUCACUCUGUGAUUAUGUGCCCUAAUGGGAGAGGAAAUGCACUGAACGAAUGUGUGAGUGGAUGAAUGAAUGCAUCGGGGUUACUUAUUCCAAGCUCUGGAGGGCAAUAUAAUGAUGUCUCCAUCAACGCACCUUCUGGGAACUCAGUCCCUGGAAGGAUAUCAGACAAGGACAGGGCCACAGGGCUGUCUUCGGUGUAGAUCCUGUACCUCGGGCUGCUCUGGGCCUCAUGGAGGAAGGCUUCCUGCAGCCCCCAGGAAGUACUCUGGGCCCUCAAGGAAGGUGGAGGUGGCCACUCCCUAGACCCCAGGACAGAGAGGAUCCUGGGGAGGCACAGCCUGUGACAGCAGGCAAGCUGGGACUCUGCCACCCUGUCAGUGGAGCCUGGGGGCCUCUGGGAAAAGCCACCACCACGAGCACCUUGGAGGCCAGGUCUUCGCUCACCCUCUCCACAGCCUUUGAAGAAUAGUUCCUGGAGAGCCUACAGUGUGCCAGAUAUGAGAACAGAGCACAAAAAAGGAGCACCACUUGGCCUGAGUCCACGAUAAGUCUGUUGUUAAGUAGGAGAAACGGGGAAAGAGCUGUCCACAGCACAAGUGUGACAAGUAUCACCCCAGAGGUCAGUGCAGGAGCCCUGGGGUGUGGGACUGGUAGGCAAGGCUCCUCCAAAGAGGGGACUCCUGCUUUGAAGGCUGAGGGCAGGGAGCAGAACAGCAGAGUCAGCGGAUGGCUGUUCUUGGGAGAGGAAACCGUGCGAUCAAAUGCUCAGGACCUGGGAGAGCCUCCUGAGGAGCCAGGGAGUUACAGAGGCAGCUGUACCAAGGACCUGAUCCCACUUCUGCCUCUUGCGUAUGACAGUUCUGGGCCUCAGGUCCUUGUCUGCACAAUGAUGACUCUGGAUUUAAAGACCCAAGUAUCCAAGGGAACCCAUCAGACUUAAGAAGGCUGUUCAGGGCAAUCCCAGGACAAAAGAGCAGAACGGACACAGGCAUCAACAGAACAUCCAGCAGCCACUGUACCACAGCUUCUAGGCUCCAGCUAGUGGUCUCUUUAGUGUUUAGUGGGGAGGAGCAGCACAGGGCUACACUGCACCCAGCUCUCACUGAGCACGUUCUCCAUGUCCUUGCGGUGUCUCUCAGACAACCCCAAGUAUUAUCACCUAAAGAAAGCACACCAAAUCCAGGAAAAGUGUAAUCAUCUAUCAUUUUACAGGUAGGAAAACUAAGGCUCAAAAAGGAGCAAUCUGUGCAUGGUUCCAUUGAAAGGCCUGGGUCCAGAAUUUCACUUGGGAUCUAUUUGAUUUUGGACCCAGCUCUUCCCAGGACACCCUCUGGCCCCAAGAAAGCUCUGCCAGGCCCAUCUCAGGGACCUGACACCUUUCUGCAGUCCAGUCCCCCACAUUCGCCUCUCCCCCGAAGCUCCUGGAGCCCCGCCUCCGCAAAUGGGCCCUCUAGGGAAAGCUACAGAAAGAGGGCUACUCGGGGAGAACUGCAGGAAGAAGGAAGGAAGGGAAGGCCAUCUCCGGCCUCCUGCCAUCUGCCAAGCUCCAGACCGGUGAGGGUUCCGCAGAAGGGCAGAUCAGUGGGCACAGCUGCUGCCUCUGUACUGGCCAGCACGGGGCUCUUAGGAGACAGGAGCCACCUGACAUCAUGCCUGCUGGUAACCUGCCCCUGGAUGACUGCUCCUUCUUUGCCCCAGCUGGGCCCAUCCUGAAGGCCCAGGGGCAAGGUCAGCCCUCAGGGGAAGGGGCCAGGUGGGGCUCUUUUGAGUGGCUGCUGAAAUGAGGGAUAAUUUUGAUUACUAACGUUUCCCACAAGACCUCCCCAUUCUCAGAGCUGCUCCUACUUCCCCCUCACAGGCUGCUUCUAGAAUCAGGCCGCUUUCACUUCCUACCGAGAGAGCAAAGGUGAUGCCCCUUUGGGCUUAGCUCAUUCUGGGAGGUAUUAGUGGACAAAAGACCAGGAGUUUUAAAGGCAUAAGACCUUGUCUGGAUCCUUAUUUCUCCAGGAAGAUAAACACUUAUUUUUUAAAAGUCUUUUUAAUCACUGGCACACACAUUCCAUAAAGAGGGUCUAAGUAUCAGCCAAACACUGAAUUUAUUUAAAUGCAAUUCUACUAAAGCAGAUAGAAGGGAAAGUGUGCCAUUUGAAACCUCUUUAACUUCACUGAGCAGUUGCUGAGUCCUGGUGUGACUUCAGCCCUGUGUUUGACUCCAGAAAACAGAAUGCAAACCCAAGCCUCAGUCUCUGCCCUCCAGCAUCUGACAGUCUAGUUGGGAACAUGACACUGGAAUGACUCCAGUCACUGUGCCUGGUUGGCCCCUGCUGCCUAUUUACUGUCUACUAGUCCUCUCUCAGUACUCGAUCUUCCAAAGAAGCCCAGGAUAUGACAGCUGUGUUUUUUCCCCAUUUAAUAAAGGAGGAAGCAGAGGCCAAGGCAUACAGAGGUGAAAUGAUUUUCUGAAGGCCAAUAAGCCAGGAUUUUCAUAAAUUUGACUCCAUAGCUGACUCUUAACCUACAAGUGACUUAGUGAAAUCAUGCAUCAGGUAGGGAAAAAACUGAAAGAGACUUGGAGUCUGAAGGAAGAAGAGAUGAGAAAAGUUUCAAAUGGAUGGAUCUUGAAAAGUGGCUAAAGGUGGCUGGUGGGUGGCUGAUGAAAAGCAGGUCCUGUCUGAGAUGGCACAAAGCUACUGUCUGGAUACCACUGAAACGGGUUCCGAACAUAUGUGGAAAGUCACCUCCACUUGGGAUCACUGCUGGCUUUCCAAAAGAAGGAAAGAUGUGAAUUUCUUGCACUCAGAAAGAAGUUAGGUACUAGGAAUGAUAACAUUUUGGUCAGAGGUCUUCCUAGGAAGGGGGGAAAACAAAAGUCAAAAUUAUUGUUGCAUGGGUAAACCUAGCUUUGCCCAGAGAAUGAAAUCAUAAGAAGCUACAGGAGGUAACAGUUCCUUGUAAAGUUCUCUAACUAAAAGCACUCCCUGGUGGCAUUGCCUGUGAAGCAAACCACUAUUUUAUAAUCAAAAACAAGCCCUAAGCUCCUGAAACUUGCAACACAUGAUGCAUCUGUGUGGAUGUGGUGGUUGUGCUCUUAUGGUGGGAUCUGUCUGUCCCAGAUCAAUUGUGGUUCUGUCUUCCAAUACAUGUUGGCCUCUCACUGUGUGCAGGGGCUCCCAGGUCUGGGCAGAAACAGCAGAGGGACACAAAGACAUUGUGACAAGCUACAGGAACCUAACACCAGUUCACCCAGAACCAAAAUUACAUUUGGAAGGUGGGGACAGACAGGUGACACCCAUUGCUUUCUGAAAACCAGCCAAGGCUCAGUUGGCUCAAGAGAAUGAAGUCUGGCUAUCUGUCUGAGGAACAGGGGGUGGGUGACCCUCUAUCAGGAAGUAGCCUUCCCUGCUUGGGGAAGCAAUAAUUGCAGAGAAGAUAAGAGCAUCUUAUUUCUUGCCUUAUAACAAGAAAUGUAGACUCGGUCUCUAUCCCUAGUACCUGGCUCAAGAAUCCUUGAAAUCUGCUAAGUGAGAAGGUUAAGAGUGUCUUCUGUCAUUUAUUAUUUGUGUUAGUUGUUUGCUAUUUGUUAUUUGAUAGGGAGAUGACUCUCUGUGGACUCCCACAUAGCUGCUGGUUAGGAGCUGGUUCCAGAUGAGCCAAUCGUAUGAUUGACUAGAGGGUUGGAACUUUCAGUCCACUUCCUAACCUCUGGGGAAGGGAAGGGAGAGGAGUUGGAGACUGAGUUCAUAAUGGAACUUCAUAAACAACAUAAAAAAUGGCAUUUGGAGAGCUUGCAGUCUGGUGAGCACCCGAGGUGCUGGUGACGUUGUGCACCUACGUAGGAAAUAGGGGCUCUGGACUCCCUGCCAUGGACCUUGCCUGCUGCAUCUCUUCCAUUUGGCUGAGUUGUGCCCUUUAUAAUAAUCGGGUGACACUGUGUAAACUGUUUUCCUGAAUUCUGGAAGGCAUUCUAGCAAAAGAUCCAAGCUGAGGAAGUGGUUGUGGAAGCCCCUAGUUGACAGCCAGUCAGAAACAUGGUGGCCUGGGCUCCUGAUUGGCAUCUGAAAUGAGGCAAUCUUGUGAGACUGAGCCCUUAGCUUGAAAGGUCAAGUUGAUUGUGUCGGAAGUGAACUGAAUUGUGAGACACUCUGCCCAUGGCCAAGAACAGGUCAGUGCCAGAAGGGUUCCGUAGGCAGAGACAGAUGGUGACAGCAGAGCUUCAGAUCCACCUGGGUGAGAAUCCUAGUGCCAACAUGUGUUUCCUUGGAGACGCUGGGGGAAACUACUCAGCCUAAAUUUUCUCACCUGUAAAAUGCAAAUAAUAAUAAUACCCAUAUCCCCAAAUCACUGCAAAGAUUAUAGAACACAGGCUGAUGAUUUGCGGGAUGUGCUCAGUCAGUAACUAAUUGUCAGAUGAGAGAAUGAUGGAUGGAUGGAUGGAUGAGCUCUAAUACUUUCAUCACACUUAGUAUGUUCCAGGCACUUUUCUAAGUGGUAUUAUUAACUUGUUUAAUUCUUGAAACAAUGCUAGAAGGUAGAUACUAUUAUUAUCCCCAUUUUACAAUGAGAAAACUGAGGAAUAAAGAAGAUAAGUGAGUUGUUCAAGGUCACAUGCUGGGGAAAAGUGGCAGAUUUGAAUUUCAAACCCAGGUCUAACCAGAGCCCGUGUUCUCCACACCAUACUCCUUUACACAGGCUUGGCACGCAGUGAUGCUCAGGAGUGGAAGAUGUUGUUAUAGUUGCUGUCCUUCCGUUAUUUAUGCAGUGGAGAAGUGUCCCACACUGAAAUCUGUGUACAUUGGUAGGGUACACAGAUGUGGUACAUCUGUGUGGGUGGUAUCUCAAUGAACUUUCCAAAAAGUCAUGACUAUCAUUUUAUUUUAAUAUGUAUUAGGAAGAAAAAUUAGUAGCACAUCAAACCCAGGAUUUCAUUGAUAUCAUCCCUGUGACAAGGCAAAAGUUUUUAAAAAGUGAGUCAACUUGAGGAUAAGAUACAAAAUCAUAAUAAGGUGACAGAAAUCAGGUUGGUAUCAUAUUAAUGUUGAUAAGGCAUGUGAUUUUUUUUAAAAAGGCAUGGGUAGCUGGGUGUGGCGGUGCACACUUGUGGUCCUAGCACUUGGAGGCUGAGGCAGGAGGAUUGGAAGUUUAUGUCUUGCCUGAGCAACUUUGGGAGUCUCUGUCUCAAAAUAAAAAGGGCUGGGGAAGUAGCUCAGUGGUAGAAAAUCCCUGGGGUCAAUCCCCAGCAUGGAGGGAAAAAAGCACAGCCAUUGUGAUCACACAGAUCUGGCUUCCAGAACCAGGUCUGACUUCACACCUUUAUUUCUCUGUCUGUUAAGUGGGGGCCAUAGCACCCACUUGCGUGCUGUGGAAGUGGAGAUUACAGGUGAUAACGGGCUGCUUGCACACACGUCACAGGCCAAAGCAAGCGCUGGCCCACCCAGCCCAUCCCACUGCCUCACUCACAGAUUCCUGGGGUCUCCACCCUCUGCCCUAUCCUACCAACCUAGCCAGAAACUGUGGCCUUUGCGCCCCAUUCCUGGGCCCCCAGACUCCUCACCACUCAACUCUGGAAAGCAAAUCCCUUCAGCCUCCUCAGCUGUAAUGAUAAGAUUUGGAGACUCCAUAGGAAUCCGAAUGUGAAGAUACUCCAGGGACAUAGUAGAAAUUAGAUGUUUUUCAAUUACCACAGGCAAAGGGCUGCAUGUGGUUCUACUAAUGCAAACUGCUUAUUUGCCGGUUCCCCCUCCGCCGCCCCAUCCGGGCCCUGCCAGUGAUUGAUGGCCACAGAAGGACACGUUGUCAAGCCCCCUUGAUUUCUAUCUGAAGAGAGUUGACUCCCUGGGCUUGGAAUGAUGGCUUCGGCAGCAUGGUCGGCACCAGAAAGAAGCCGCUUUGCAGCUGGGAACUUGCCCUGCCUUCCAAGAAGUUUCUCCCUAAAAGCUUCUCCCUAAAAGCAACACACAUCGAAAGUCCCAGACACAUGCUAGAGCAAGAAUUCAAAGAACUUCAGACCAGUGGCCCGCCUAGUCGUGGUUGUUACCCUGGGAGGAGGAAACCAAGUCCACUGUAAAGUGAGAAUUUUUUAAAUUUCUAAAGACAAAAGAUGGUGGUUCCAAAGUAGAUCCACUAAGACCUCAAUAACAAAAUACAAUUCGUUGGGACUCUGCAUGAGCUCAAAGACAGACAAAGGAGGACUCACUUUUGGUCAGCACCAACGCAAUGCAUCAGGUGCUGUGUUAAGUAUCAUACAUACAUCAUCUCAUUUAAAAUAACUCAACAAAGUAGAAACCAAUAAUAGCACCAUUUGAUAAGUGAAGCAAUGAGUUUCAGAGCUGUUAAGAGACUUUCCCAAGAUCAAAAAGCCAGAACAUGCUAAGGCGGGGUUAGAAACCCAGACUCUUCUCUUUGCCAGAUAUUUGUGUAAUUAUUCCUGGGAUGCCUGGUUGCCCCAUGCAACUGUGACCUCUAGGAGGCCAGCAUGGAAAACACACAUGCACUGGAUGGUUCCAGUGCUCCCUGGACCACCCAUCCCAGAAAGCAGUCAGCCUCCUGCUUCCCAGGCUUUUCUCCCCCUCUUUCUAUCAACUUGUUCCCAAUUUAAUUGAGAAGCCAAUAGCUGCUACCCUCUCCUGGCUCCAUUAGCAGCAAUCUACCCUCAAAGGCCAGGAUCUAUACCACACGAUCCAGUCUCACACUAAUCAAGAUCACUGAGCCAGGGACAGACCCGGAACUCAAGACCAGCCUAUCCAAAGGCUGACAUAUCACUCUGAUGUGCUUUGUUUAAAAAAUGUAAAUAUUCUGAUACUUGUUAAAACAGGAAGACUUUAUUCUAGACUAUUGUAGUAGGGAAGAGAGAUCCGGAUCAACCUUGAAAACAGCAAAAACAGGGAUUCUCCACAAAGCAGAACAAUGAGGGGCCCUGGAAGGAAAAUAACUAAAAGGAGACACCGAGGAUAGGAUUGAUUUUCCUAGAGAAGCAUACACGGCUGGUUUUCCUGAUACAAACUCAGCUGUUCUCAUUGUCAGGGGAGAGCAGGUCCUCACUGUCACCAAGGACGGCUGCUGCUCUCUUUGGGGGAGCUCUGGUCUUCCCUUUGAGUGUUGUUUCCUGGCUCCAGUGCAGAUCCCUGAGCCUGAUGGCAUAGCCCCUUCACCCCACAGGCUCAGACUUUCUAGCUUCCACCACUGGCCUUUGAGCCUUCCUGGAGCCGAUCCUUGAAAGGGACUUGCAUGAGACAUCGCCGUGGGAUCCAGGCCCUCAGCUGGAUUCUUUGGGUCUCUAACAUGUGGACAGAUCUCUUGCACUCUUUUGCAUUUGACUUUCUGGGUGAAUAUUAUAAAAUGAUCAUGUAUUAAUAAUCCUGUGUCCUGUAUUAAAUCUAUUCCCUUGCAAAACCUGACUACAACACACAGAAACUCAAAGAAGAAAGGCACAUCUCGCUGGAGGUGGAGGGAAGAAUAGAUUCACAAGAGUAACACUGAGUUCUCAGAAUUCCCAAUCCCCACAUACCUAAAGACUCACAUUCCCUGCUAUGCAGUGCUCCCAGGCUCACUUUCUCCCAGCACAAAGUCAAAGACAAUUAAAAUCUUUUCCUUUCUAAGAUGCUGCUGUUCUGUGUCACCAAGAGUAUAGCUCAGAGAUCAAAGGAGAGUUCUAACUUCCCUUUUUACUUGCCCCCAAUCAGAAUGUUGGCCCUCAUUCAUUCAACAAGCAUCUGCUGAUCCUUUAUCAUGUGCCAAACACAGUAAUACAUAUUCGGAAUACAGAAACAAAUGGAAAACUGGCUAGCAAAAGUUUGAGAGUAGGCAAUCAAUCACGUGUACACUUAUGCUUGUAAGAUGCACACAGUUUAAGAAUUACAAUUAUUUGUUCUACUUUAUAGCUUCCCAUAAAGCUUUUCUCAUGUCACUGAGGACUUCUGCUUAUUGUAUUUAACAAUUAAAAUGUUUAAAAUUAAAGUAACCAUUUGGAGAAAAGAGUUAUUUUCACCUAAGCUUAAAAUCAAACACUCCCAGGGUCCUCUUAUCUACAACCCACCCUUGGUGGGGGGGCUAGGAGGCCUCCCUCGUUCACCCAGGAAACCAGCAGGAGCCUUCAUUCUGAACAUAAAUGCACCAUGUUCUCAGGUAUCCAAAUUGGCUUUUCUGUGGUGGCAUCACAAGAGAUGAAGGAUGGAAGACCCUGCUGGUUGUAUCCAAGAUGCUGACUUCUGUCCCUCACAUUCCAUAGUGACCGCAGAGACUCUGGGGAGUGUGAGUGCUAGAAAUGGUAACCUGGUCUUUACUUACUCAUACAAGCCAAGGGAGAAAUCCACACACACUCGAGUGUCUCUCAGCUUCCCAGUCUUAAACACAGGUGCACAGCUCUGGCUCAUUCUCCAAAUGCCCUCCAGUUCCCAUGUCGGGGAGUACCCUGACCUGGCAUCCUCAGCCACCUGCUCCAGGCCCACCCGGCCUCUGCUUCCCCCCCACAAUGGACUUGAAUUCAGCCGCCAGCCUUCACUGUUGCUCCCUGUCUGUGGAAGAAGCUGCACUGUAAAAACACCCACUUCGACUCUGCCAACCAUAUCUCCUCCCAUUUCUCUUCCCAACCCCCACAUCCCUCUCUUUCUAAUUACCCCAAAGAGAAAGAAGAUUAAAAACUAAUGCCCUGAGGAUGGGAGUCAGAGACGUCAUUAUUUUGAUUCAAACCCCAGGCAUGGAGAAGCUGAUCUGAGAUUUAGAAGCACCGUAACCUAGGAUGGGUUUUGGAAAACCUUGAUUAAUUGGUCCUCACCUCUAGGCAACCAGUCCCCGGCCCCUUCCCUGGUGCUGUGUGGUAGGGCUUUAAGGAUGAAUGCCACACAGUGUAACACAUGAAACGCAUAAAACACAUUCCAGUAAAAAUGCAACUUGCAAGGGAUGACUUAGAUUCCCACAAAAGGCUCAGCCUAAUUCCUACAUGCCAGAGUCCUGUGAAUUUUAAUUUACUGUGCAGAAUGAUGAGGUCAAGGUGGCUCCUACAGGGAAGCCACAUAAAGAAAGAUCUGGAGACUUUCAUCAACUGAACUUCUGAAGCAGAAAAGCAGACUUCCUUUCAGGAAUAUGUGCAGUAACAGAAGUUUUAGCCAGAAGGAAUUUUAAUGUGACUUUCAGUUAACUAAAAAAAGUAGACCCAAAUGAACCACCAGCAGCCCCUCAGCCCCAUUUUACUCCCCAGAUAUGCCACUUAUAAGGAAUCUUCCCAGUAAAGAAAGGGGAAUAUAUGAUGAAAAAUAACAUAGAUAUCACUUCAUAUUUAAUUGUACACUAAGUGUUGUUUAAAAUACUUCAGGUGCAUAAUACCUCAUAAUCCUCACUAAAGGUUUGGUCAUUAGCUUCCUAAUUUACACCAUGAACAUGCA